rfam:Clostridium sp. ASF356 genomic scaffold acMac-supercont1.1, whole genome shotgun sequence.
GGCGGAGUAGCUCAGUUGGCUAGAGCACGCGGUUCAUACCCGCGGUGUCAGGGGUUCAAAUCCCUUCUCCGCUA